rnacentral:rRNA from 1 species
UACGUAGGUGGCAAGCGUUGUCCGGAUUUACUGGGCGUAAAGCGUGCGCAGGCGGUUGUGCACGGCAGAUGUGAAAUCCCCGGGCUCAACCUGGGAACUGCAUUUGUGACUGCACGGCUGGAGUGUGGCAGAGGGAGGUGGAAUUCCACGUGUAGCAGUGAAAUGCGUAGAGAUGUGGAGGAACACCGAUGGCGAAGGCAGCCUCCUGGGCCAGCACUGACGCUCAUGCACGAAAGCGUGGGGAGCAAACAGG